GUCAUUGAAUCAUGGGGGCUGAUUUUCCUGUGCUGUUCUCAUGAUAGUGAAUAAGUCUUAUGAGAUCUGAUGGUUUUAUAAAGGGCAAUUCCCCUGCACACACACUUUUGACUGCCAUCAUAUAAGAUGUGCCUUUGCUCCUCCAUCACCUUCUGCCAUGAUUGUGAGGCCUCCCCAGCCACGUGAAACUCAUCUUGCUUCAGGACACAUACAUUUUCUGCUCCUCUAACCAGUAAACUUACUUAGGCAGAUCCUCCCUCUGCACUGGAAGGCCUGCAGAUCUGAGAAGGCUGGAGUGCAAUGGCGCGAUCUCGGCUCACUGCAACCUCCACCUCCUGGGUUCAAGCGAUUCUCCUGCCUCAGCCUCCCGAGUAGCUGGGACUACAUGUGUGGCCCACCACACCCAGGGACAUGGAUGAAGCUGGAAACCAUCAUUCUCAGCAAACUAUCACAAGGACAGAAAACCAAACACCGCGUGUUCUCACUCAUAGGUGGGAACUGAACAAUGAGAACACUUGGACACAGGUAACUUUGGGCCACUUUAUAAUGGCCCAGAUGUCUCUGAUCCUGUAGUGUGGUGCCCUAGCCUGGUCAACGCUUGGAGUUUUAUAACCCUCCAGAGCUUCAGUUUCUUCAUCUAUAAAAUAAUCAUGGGGCGUCUACUAGUUCUUGCAAUUAAUCUGGUAAAACCUUUUUCUUCAACAAACACCAAUAAAGAGGAUCAAAAAUAGCUUGCUUUUUUUUUUUCAUGCUGGAGAGUGGCACAUAUCCACUGUUUUAUCUAGGGUUAAGUCCCAGGAAUAUCUCCUGUUCUCUGU